GCAUAAAGAUGCUAUCAUCGACCAUUUCUUCCCUAAAUUUUCCACCAAGAACCAAACUCUCCUCACCAAACCCUGCAAUUUUUCCUCAAAACUACAAUUUUGUACCUUUUUGUACUGAAAAUAUGGCUUCUUCUCCAUUUUCUGGAGGGUUAAUUAACUCCAGGGUUGAUUCACCAAUUGCAAUUGGCUGUAAAAAUGCUUCAGUAGAUUCUGCUAAUAGUGGGUUUUCAACACUGAUGGAGUAUAUGGGUAAAGGAGGGGUUGAUGUGGGUGAUGACUUGGUGUUAUUGUUUGGUCACUUAGAAUAUGCCUCCAAGAAAAUUGCUGCUCUUGUUGCUUGCCCUUUCAAUUCCAGCCUCAACAACAAUGUUGCCAUUGGAAAUACGGGGACUUCUUCUGAUAGAGAUAAGCCCAAGCCUCUUGAUAUUGUUUCGAAUGAGAUUAUAUUGUCGUCUCUUAGAAAUUCGGGAAAAGUUGCUGUAAUGGCCUCAGAAGAAGAUGAGUGUCCUGUGUGGAUAACUGAUGAUGGCCCGUUUGUGGUUGUCAUGGAUCCUUUAGAUGGUUCCCGAAAUAUAGAUGCCUCAAUACCCACUGGGACGAUAUUUGGGAUUUACAGACGUCUUGUGGAAAUUGAUCAUUUGCCGGUGGAGGAAAAGGCUUUACUAAACUGCCUUCAGAGUGGAUCAAAGCUUGUUGCAGCAGCUUAUGUUCUCUAUUCGUCAGCCACAAUACUCUGUGCUAGCUUUGGUUCUGGAACACAUGCAUUCACAUUGGAUCAUACAACCGGAGAUUUCCUCUUGACACAUCCUAACAUCAACAUUCCUCCUCGAGGGCAAAUUUAUUCAGUUAAUGAUGCUCGG
rnacentral:misc_RNA from 1 species